rnacentral:rRNA from 1 species
ACGAACGCUGGCGGCGUGCUUAACACAUGCAAGUCGAGCGGUAAGGCCCUUUCGGGGGUACACGAGCGGCGAACGGGUGAGUAACACGUGGGUGACCUGCCCUUAGCUCUGGGAUAAGCCUGGGAAACUGGGUCUAAUACCGGAUAUGACUCCAUGACGCAUGUUGUGGGGUGGAAAGCCUUGUGCGGCUAGGGAUGGGCCCGCGGCCUAUCAGCUUGUUGGUGGGGUGAUGGCCUACCAAGGCGACGACGGGUAGCCGGCCUGAGAGGGCGACCGGCCACACUGGGACUGAGACACGGCCCAGACUCCUACGGGAGGCAGCAGUGGGGAAUCUUGCGCAAUGGGCGAAAGCCUGACGCAGCGACGCCGCGUGAGGGAUGACGGCCU